rnacentral:lncRNA from 1 species
CACAGAAGACGAAGAGCUGGAAUAGAGCUCGCCUCGGCUCUGCUGGCCUUGGCUGCAGCUCUUCCAGAAACCCGGGGCGCCCACAGAAGAAUCUCUUACCUGGCUCUCUCUUCAGGGAUGACAUCAUCGGCUCACACCAGUCUUCCAGGACCACCUUCUGGAUGCCAAGGCUGCUGCUCGAGUACCUGCUGUGCACCUCUACCUCCUGGUACCCCAGCCACUCCCUCAAGUUGCCUGCAUGUUAUAUGGCCUAGCCAAGGAGCACGGAUUCCAGGAACCCACUACCAUACAGAGCAACUCCUUGUGGACCCCCCUGGGAUCAGGACAGCGAGGGACAAGCGACAAAGAGGAUCAUCAGUGGCCAGCUAGUUUCUCUGGGGUUCAAACCUUGAACCAGUGCCCUAGUGAGGGGGCACUGGCCAUGGCCCUUGACCUUUGCUCUGCUUGUGUCUUGAGUCUGAGCCCUUUCCUGUACAUCUGUGCUCGUGUUCAUCUGCUAGUGAACUGGAGUGCUGCCCUCCCCGAGGAGGGUCGUCCCUUGUGACUGAUCAUGCUGUCCUAACAAUGUCCUGAGCAAAAGGGUCCCUUUGGGAACCUCUCAGGAGGGGGACCCGGGUCAGGGGCGACCAGCAUCUUGCUGGCAACUCCGUGGGUGGGGUGGGGUGGGGUGCUUCCUUCUGGAAUGAGCACGUGGCUGACCCCCCAAGGCAUGUCCCCUCCCCCUCCUCCACCCACCUUCUCGGAGAUGUCCCUUUUGGGGUAGUGGGGACAUUAGGAGCAACCUCCUAGGGUUGUUGUGAGAAUUAAAUGAACUGCAGCAGCCUGAGGCAGGGCUGGGCAGAGACCUCAGCACAUGUUUGUUGAAAGGUUUGCAGGUGGAUCUAGUCCUCCCGUUCAUGGCUCAUGUGUCUCAACCAUUCUCUCGCAGACUCCUGCAGCCCCUAUGCCCAGGGCUCUCCUUGCGCCAGAGGUAGGUGGGAAAGAGAACUGGGAGAGCCCGGACUCACUCAUGAGAUUGAACUUAAAUUCACACGGAGGACACUUGGACUCUUGCCACAUUAGCCCCGGCUUCUCGAGGCCUGUCUACACUCGCUGCUUUCCUUCCUCACCUCCAAUUUCCCCUCCAACCCACUGCUUCCUGACUCGCUCUUCUCCAUCGAACGGCUCUCGCUCAGGUUUAAGGCUUGGCUUGCUGGCCCUGGAGAUCCCGUCGCCGUCUUCGUCGAACUCGAAAUCCUAGCCAUCGUCCUUCCCUGGCCUGUCGCGUCUUCCUGUGCCAUUUGCUGUUGUGCUCAGGUUCCACGAGCUGCCCAUCUCCACAGAAGAGCAGCUGGCAUUGCCCACCGGCCAUGCCGGCUGAAGAAAAGAAGACUGAGGACCCCAGGAUGCCCAGCGCGAGGACCCCAGGAAGCCCAGCGCGAGGACUCCACCCACGACGCCCAGCGCGAGGACUUCACGCACAACACGUUGCAACCCUCCUGGAUUAGGCCAAAGCCAUCAUCUGGAAUCCUGCGUGGGACCCUGGACACACGGACACAGACACCUGCCCCCAGGACCCUCCAACUGUAAAUCCCUCUACAGCCACGGGGACGCCUUGCACAUUUCCUGUGGGACAUGCUGGACCCAAGACUCUGGACCCUGGCCUCCCCUUGAGUAGAGAGACCCACCUACUGACUGAUGAACUGCGCUGACCCUGGGGUCAGGCAUGUGGCCUUGAUCCCUACCCAUGGACCCUGAGACUUGGGGGGGUGGGAGAAAGGCUGUUGUGUCUUCACUGUUGAGUCUACAUCUGUGAAAUGGGCUCAGGUUCCUACCUCACAGGGCUGUUGUGAGGCAGCCGCAAUGUGCUUAGAAGCAUGGGGCCUAGUGGCUCAUGGUGCUUUCAAUAAAUUUCUUGUUUUAACUAAA